AUACGGAGGGUGCAAGCGUUGUUCGGAUUCAUUGGGCGUAAAGAGAGCGUAGGCGGGUGAGCAAGUCAGGUGUGAAAGCCCUCGGCUUAACCGAGGAAGUGCACUUGAAACUGCUCGUCUUGAGUACUGGAGAGGGAAGCGGAAUUCCCGGUGUAGCGGUGAAAUGCGUAGAGAUCUGAAGGAACACCAGUGGCGAAGGCGACUCCCUGGACUCGAACUGACGCUGAGGUACGAAAGCGUGGGUAGCAAACGGGAUUAGAUACCCCUGUAGUCC
rnacentral:rRNA from 1 species